AAGUCGUAACAAGGUUUCCGUAGGUGAACCUGCGGAAGGAUCAUUACCGAGUUCUGGCCCGUCUGGGCCGUCUCUCCACACCGUGCGUAUGCAUAUCAUUACGUUACACACAAAGGCUCAUGUGUCUAAACAACCGAAACCAAACAUGAAGCAAAAACUUUCAACAACGGAUCUCUUGGUUCUG
rnacentral:misc_RNA from 1 species